CUACGGGCGGCUGCAGUGGGGAAUAUUGCACAAUGGAGGAAACUCUGAUGCAGCAACGCCGCGUGGAGGAUGACACAUUUCGGUGCGUAAACUCCUUUUAUAUGAGAAGAUAAUGACGGUAUCAUAUGAAUAAGCACCGGCUAACUCCGUGCCAGCAGCCGCGGUAAUACGGGGGGUGCAAGUCGUUACUCGGAAUCACUGGGCGUAAAGAGCAUGUAGGCGGAUAGAAAAGUUGGAAGUGAAAUCCUGUGGCUUAACCAUAGAACUGCUUCCAAAACUCUCUAUCUAGAAUAUGGGAGAGGUAGAUGGAAUUUCUGGUGUAGGGGUAAAAUCCGUAGAGAUCAGAAGGAAUACCGAUUGCGAAGGCGAUCUACUGGAACAUUAUUGACGCUGAGAUGCGAAAGCGUGGGGAGCAAACAGGAUUAGAUACCCGGGUAGUC
rnacentral:rRNA from 1 species